UACGUAGGGUGCAAGCGUUGUCCGGAAUUAUUGGGCGUAAAGAGCUCGUAGGCGGUCUGUUGCGUCGGCUGUGAAAACCCGGGGCUCAACUCCGGGCCUGCAGCCGAUACGGGCAGACUAGAGUUCGGCAGGGGAGACUGGAAUUCCUGGUGUAGCGGUGAAAUGCGCAGAUAUCAGGAGGAACACCCGUAGCGAAGGCGGCACUCUGGGCCGGAACUGACGCUGAGGAGCGAAAGCGUGGGGAGCGAACAGG
rnacentral:rRNA from 1 species